GGCCCCUUAGCUCAGUUGGAUAGAGCACCUGCCUUCUAAGCAGGUUGUCGCAGGUUCGAAUCCUGCAGGGGUCGCCA
rnacentral:tRNA from 57 species